rnacentral:rRNA from 1 species
CUAACAAGGAUUCCCCUAGUAACGGCGAGUGAAGCGGGAUGAGCUCAAAUUUGUAAUCUGGCGGUCUCAGGCCGUCCGAGUUGUAGUCUGGAGAAGCGUCUUCCGUGCCGGACCGUGUACAAGUCCCUUGGAACAGGGCGUCGUAGAGGGUGAGAAUCCCGUCUCUGACACGGACUACCGGUGCUCUGUGAUGCGCUCUCGAAGAGUCGAGUUGUUUGGGAAUGCAGCUCAAAAUGGGUGGUAAAUUCCAUCUAAAGCUAAAUAUUGGCGAAAGACCGAUAGCGAACAAGUACCGUGAGGGAAAGAUGAAAAGCACUUUGGAAAGAGAGUUAAACAGUACGUGAAAUUGUUGAAAGGGAAACGCUUGAAGUCAGUCGCGUCUUCCGAGACUCAGCCGGGUUCUUACUCGGUGCACUUCUCGGUGUGACGGGCCAGCAUCGAUUUCGACCGUCGGAGAAAGGUCGAGGGAAUGUGGCACCUUCGGGUGUGUUAUAGCCCUCGGUCGUAUGCGACGGUGGGGAUCGAGGACCGCAGCGUGCCGCAAGGCCGGGGUUCGCCCACGUAACGCGCUUAGGAUGCUGGCGUAAUGGCUUUAA